CAGUCGCCACGGGAAUACCAGCACCUCGAGUGGUCAGGAGGUUUAUUGGGCCUAAAGCAUCCGUAGCCGGUUGCAUAAGUUUUCGGUUAAAUCUAUGCGCUUAACGUAUAGGCCGCCGAAAAUACUGUGCAGCUAGGGAGUGGGAGAGGUACACGGUACUCGAUAGGAAGGGGUAAAAUCCUUUGAUCUAUUGAUGACCACCUGUGGCGAAGGCGGUGUACCUGAACACGUUCGACGGUGAGGGAUGAAAGCUGGGGGAGCAAACAGGAUUAGAUACCCGAGUAGUCCCUGUCUCUUAUAC
rnacentral:rRNA from 1 species